UAUAAAUCCGUUCCUGGAACUGGGUGCCAGAGAGGGUUAGAGCCCCGUCUUUGACUCGGUCGGAAGUGCGUGAUAAGGUAGGCCCAGAGAGUCGGCUUGCUUGGGAAUGCAGGCCAAAUCGGGUGGUAAACUCCAUCUAAAGCUAAAUAUUGGCGAGAGACCGAUAGCGAACAAGUACUGUGAAGGAAAGAUGGAAAGAACUUUGAAAAGAGAGUGAAAAAGGGCUUGAAAUUGUUGAGAGGAGAAGUGAUUGGAGCCUA
rnacentral:rRNA from 1 species